UACAGAGGGUGCAAGCGUUGUUCGGAAUUAUUGGGCGUAAAGCGCGUGUAGGCGGCUUUGCAAGUCGGGUGUGAAAGCCCUCAGCUCAACUGAGGAAGUGCGCCCGAAACUGCAGAGCUUGAGUGCCGGAGAGGGUGGCGGAAUUCCCCAAGUAGAGGUGAAAUUCGUAGAUAUGGGGAGGAACACCGGUGGCGAAGGCGGUUGCCUGGAGCUUUGCUGACGCUGAUGCGCGAAAGCGUGGGGAGCGAACAGG
rnacentral:rRNA from 1 species